rnacentral:rRNA from 1 species
CGGGACACGUGGUAUCCUGUCUGAAUAUGGGGGGACCAUCCUCCAAGGCUAAAUACUCCUGACUGACCGAUAGUGAACCAGUACCGUGAGGGAAAGGCGAAAAGAACCCCGGCGAGGGGAGUGAAAAAGAACCUGAAACCGUGUACGUACAAGCAGUGGGAGCCUCUUAAUGGGGUGACUGCGUACCUUUUGUAUAAUGGGUCAGCGACUUAUAUUCUGUAGCAAGGUUAACCGAAUAGGGGAGCCGAAGGGAAACCGAGUCUUAACUGGGCGUUAAGUUGCAGGGUAUAGACCCGAAACCCGGUGAUCUAGCCAUGGGCAGGUUGAAGGUUGGGUAACACUAACUGGAGGACCGAACCGACUAAUGUUGAAAAAUUAGCGGAUGACUUGUGGCUGGGGGUGAAAGGCCAAUCAAACCGGGAGAUAGCUGGUUCUCCCCGAAAGCUAUUUAGGUAGCGCCUCGUGAAUUCAUCUCCGGGGGUAGAGCACUGUUUCGGCAAGGGGGUCAUCCCGACUUACCAACCCGAUGCAAACUGCGAAUACCGGAGAAUGUUAUCACGGGAGACACACGGCGGGUGCUAACGUCCGUCGUGAAGAGGGAAACAACCCAGACCGCCAGCUAAGGUCCCAAAGUCAUGGUUAAGUGGGAAACGAUGUGGGAAGGCCCAGACAGCCAGGAUGUUGGCUUAGAAGCAGCCAUCAUUUAAAGAAAGCGUAAUAGCUCACUGGUCGAGUCGGCCUGCGCGGAAGAUGUAACGGGGCUAAACCAUGCACCGAAGCUGCGGCAGCGACACUAUGUGUUGUUGGGUAGGGGAGCGUUCUGUAAGCCUGUGAAGGUGUGCUGUGAGGCAUGCUGGAGGUAUCAGAAGUGCGAAUGCUGACAUAAGUAACGAUAAAGCGGGUGAAAAGCCCGCUCGCCGGAAGACCAAGGGUUCCUGUCCAACGUUAAUCGGGGCAGGGUGAGUCGACCCCUAAGGCGAGGCCGAAAGGCGUAGUCGAUGGGAAACAGGUUAAUAUUCCUGUACUUGGUGUUACUGCGAAGGGGGGACGGAGAAGGCUAUGUUGGCCGGGCGACGGUUGUCCCGGUUUAAGCGUGUAGGCUGGUUUUCCAGGCAAAUCCGGAAAACCAAGGCUGAGGCGUGAUGACGAGGCACUACGGUGCUGAAGCGACAAAUGCCCUGCUUCCAGGAAAAGCCUCUAAGCAUCAGGUAACAUCAAAUCGUACCCCAAACCGACACAGGUGGUCAGGUAGAGAAUACCAAGGCGCUUGAGAGAACUCGGGUGAAGGAACUAGGCAAAAUGGUGCCGUAACUUCGGGAGAAGGCACGCUGAUAUGUAGGUGAAGCGACUUGCUCGUGGAGCUGAAAUCAGUCGAAGAUACCAGCUGGCUGCAACUGUUUAUUAAAAACACAGCACUGUGCAAACACGAAAGUGGACGUAUACGGUGUGACGCCUGCCCGGUGCCGGAAGGUUAAUUGAUGGGGUUAGCGGUAACGCGAAGCUCUUGAUCGAAGCCCCGGUAAACGGCGGCCGUAACUAUAACGGUCCUAAGGUAGCGAAAUUCCUUGUCGGGUAAGUUCCGACCUGCACGAAUGGCGUAAUGAUGGCCAGGCUGUCUCCACCCGAGACUCAGUGAAAUUGAACUCGCUGUGAAGAUGCAGUGUACCCGCGGCAAGACGGAAAGACCCCGUGAACCUUUACUAUAGCUUGACACUGAACAUUGAGCCUUGAUGUGUAGGAUAGGUGGGAGGCUUUGAAGUGUGGACGCCAGUCUGCAUGGAGCCGACCUUGAAAUACCACCCUUUAAUGUUUGAUGUUCUAACGUUGGCCCGUAAUCCGGGUUGCGGACAGUGUCUGGUGGGUAGUUUGACUGGGGCGGUCUCCUCCUAAAGAGUAACGGAGGAGCACGAAGGUUGGCUAAUCCUGGUCGGACAUCAGGAGGUUAGUGCAAUGGCAUAAGCCAGCUUGACUGCGAGCGUGACGGCGCGAGCAGGUGCGAAAGCAGGUCAUAGUGAUCCGGUGGUUCUGAAUGGAAGGGCCAUCGCUCAACGGAUAAAAGGUACUCCGGGGAUAACAGGCUGAUACCGCCCAAGAGUUCAUAUCGACGGCGGUGUUUGGCACCUCGAUGUCGGCUCAUCACAUCCUGGGGCUGAAGUAGGUCCCAAGGGUAUGGCUGUUCGCCAUUUAAAGUGGUACGCGAGCUGGGUUUAGAACGUCGUGAGACAGUUCGGUCCCUAUCUGCCGUGGGCGCUGGAGAACUGAGGGGGGCUGCUCCUAGUACGAGAGGACCGGAGUGGACGCAUCACUGGUGUUCGGGUUGUCAUGCCAAUGGCACUGCCCGGUAGCUAAAUGCGGAAGAGAUAAGUGCUGAAAGCAUCUAAGCACGAAACUUGCCCCGAGAUGAGUUCUCCCUGAGACUUAGAGUCUCCUGAAGGAACGUUGAAGACGACGACGUUGAUAGGCCGGGUGUGUAAGCGCAGCGAUGCGUUGAGCUAACCGGUACUAAUGAACCGUGAGGCUUAACCUU